GAUGAACGCUGGCGGCGUGCCUAAUACAUGCAAGUCGAGCGAACAGACGAGGAGCUUGCUCCUCUGACGUUAGCGGCGGACGGGUGAGUAACACGUGGAUAACCUACCUAUAAGACUGGGAUAACUUCGGGAAACCGGAGCUAAUACCGGAUAAUAUAUUGAACCGCAUGGUUCAAUAGUGAAAGACGGUUUUGCUGUCACUUAUAGAUGGAUCCGCGCCGCAUUAGCUAGUUGGUAAGGUAACGGCUUACCAAGGCAACGAUGAGUAGCCGACCUGAGAGGGUGAUCGGCCACCCUGGAACUGCGACACGGUCCAGACUCCUACGGGAGGCAGCAGUAGGGAAUCUUCCGCAAAGGGCGAAAGCCUGACGGAGCAACGCCGCGUGAGUGAUGAAGGUCUUCGGAUCGUAAAACUCUGUUAUUAGGGAAGAACAAAUGUGUAAGUAACUAUGCACGUCUUGACGGUACCUAAUCAGAAAGCCACGGCUAACUACGUG
rnacentral:rRNA from 1 species